UCUUCCCUCAGCCCUCCCUGCAGAGGGCGCAUCCCCUGGCAGGGGUUCCUUCUCACAGGUGAGGGGAGGACUCCUUGGGCCUCAGUUUUAACUUUCUGGAACCCACCCACUACUGCCAUGCUCACUGUUGAAGCCAUGCUGUCCAAUGCCACAAAGGGGAAGGAGGUUCUUCUACUCACUCACAAUCUGCCCCAUGAUCUUAUUGGCUAUAACUGGUACAAAGGGGAAAGGGUGGAGGCCAACCACCAUAUUACAGGAUAUGUAAUAGGAACUCUAAUAACUACCCCCAGGGCCUGCCCACAGCAUUCAAGGGACAAUAUACCCCAAUGCAUCCCUGCUGAUUCAGAAUGUCACCCAGGACACAGGAUUCUACACCCUACACGCCAUAAAGAUAAACCCUGAGAAAGAAGAAGUAUCUGGCCAGUUCCAUGUAUACUGAG
rnacentral:lncRNA from 1 species